rnacentral:rRNA from 1 species
CGCCCUUAGAGUUUGAUCAUGGCUCAGAUUGAACGCUGGCGGCAGGCUUAACACAUGCAAGUCGAGCGGUAGGAGAGCUUGCUCUCUACGAGCGGCGGACGGGUGAGUAAUGUCUGGGAAACUGCCUGAUGGAGGGGGAUAACUACUGGAAACGGUAGCUAAUACCGCAUAAUGUCGCAAGACCAAAGAGGUUCGUCUUGCCAUCAGAUGUGCCCAGAUGGGAUUAGCUAGUAGGUGGGGUAAUGGCUCACCUAGGCGACGAUCCCUAGCUGGUCUGAGAGGAUGACCAGCCACACUGGAACUGAGACACGGUCCAGACUCCUACGGGAGGCAGCAGUGGGGAAUAUUGCACAAUGGGCGCAAGCCUGAUGCAGCCAUGCCGCGUGUAUGAAGAAGGCCUUAGGGUUGUAAAGUACUUUCAGCGAGGAGGAAGGCAUUGUAUAAUUGCAAUGAUUGACGUUACUCGCAGAAGAAGCACCGGCUAACUCCGUGCCAGCAGCCGCGGUAAUACGGAGGGUGCAAGCGUUAAUCGGAAUUACUGGGCGUAAAGCGC